rnacentral:rRNA from 1 species
GAUGAACGCUCGCGGGAGGCCUAACACAUGCAAGCCGAGCGGUAGAGUUCCUUCGGGAACUUGAGAGCGGCGUACGGGUGCGUAACACGUGUGCAACCUACCUUUAUCUGGGGGAUAGCCUUUCGAAAGGAAGAUUAAUACCCCAUAAUAUAAUGAUUGGCAUCAAUUAUUAUUGAAAACUCCGGUGGAUAGAGAUGGGCACGCGCAAGAUUAGAUAGUUGGUGAGGUAACGGCUCACCAAGUCAAUGAUCUUUAGGGGUCCUGAGAGGGAGAUCCCCCACACUGGUACUGAGACACGGACCAGACUCCUACGGGAGGCAGCAGUGAGGAAUAUUGGACAAUGGGUGAAAGCCUGAUCCAGCCAUCCCGCGUGAAGGAUGACGGUCCUAUGGAUUGUAAACUUCUUUUGGACAGGGAUAAACCUACUCUCGUGAGGGUAGCUGAAGGUACUGUACGAAUAAGCACCGGCUAACUCCGUG